rnacentral:sRNA from 1 species
UCCUUCUGAGGUUGCUCACUUAAUCAAAGAGGAUGAAUGUCCCAGAGAGACAGGAACAGUGCUUUGACCAAGCAAAUAACAGUAGCUGUGCUCCUAAACUAGACCAUCCAAGAAGCUCAUGAGCUCUUUUCCAGACUAGCAUCCCAUC